UUAAUAUUUCCCUGAGCUGCGUUCAAUAAAACGCAGCUCCACAUAUGGUAUAAAUUGAAACAAACCCUAAUUAAAUUUCAACACUAUUGAAAUUUCUCAAUCCCUAAUCUCAGCGCAACCUCCCGAUCCAAUCUCGCCGUCGUGCUCUCAACCCACUACCCACAAACCUCACGCCUCCUCCCUCAUCAAAACCCGAAAAAUUUGCUGACCGAAGAGACCCAAGCUCUUCACUGGCGAGGCUCGCUCUGUCACCGGCAGGCUGUCACUCCACUUGAUCAAGUUUAAACGCACAAGUGAAACAAAACAAAACAUGGCCAUGAAACCUAAAACCCACAACGGAAAUGGCAACUCCAACGACAACAAUAGCGGCGGAGGAAGAAGCAGCUCGCCGAGCUCGCCUCCGUUGCCGCCGCUUUGCUCCAGCGUAUCCCAAUGCCGGCGACGAGUGCAGUCCAAUGCACAAUCUCAACUCUUAAAGGACAACUUCGGCGGUGGCAUUCUGUUCCGGCGAAACCUACGGUACUUGGUGGUGCUUCCUCUGCUCUACUUGUCUGGGUUGCUCAUGUGUGUUGGUGGGCCCUUCUCGACUCUCGUCGGCUGGCCUACCACUCCUAGCGCCGUGUACCGUAGCCACGACAUGUUUCAGAAACUCUGGCCUCGUAUUCACUCUGAUAAUUCCUCGAUUCUUGAGUUGUCCUCUGUUUGGAAAAAAAAAGAAGCGUAAAAGGCAAAAACCGUGUCCAAAUUCAACAGCUAGUCCAUGUUUUGAGUCCUCUGGCCCCAGUGGUUACUUGAUUGUUGAGGCUAAUGGUGGUCUUAACCAACAACGCUCUGCGAUCUGUAAUGCAAUGGUUGUAGCUGGGCUUUUGAAUGCAAUACUAGUUAUCCCUCGCUUUGAUUUCCAUAAUGUUUGGAGAGAUCCAAGGUGAGAGAGACAAAAUUACUUGUAUUAUAAUAUCUUACUAGAGAGGUGUGUGAGUAAUUUUUCACCCACAUACCUUAUCAAUAUUAUCUUGGUUGUCUACUAUAGAUAUAUUUGGUGUAAAGACUUUCAUUAAAGACUAGACAUUAGCUUAUCAUUUUUUUAUUGGUAAGUUACACAUGCACCCCGUGAGUCUUGCACCCACAAGCUCACACGCCAUCCAGUUAAUAUGGGAGGAAGAAGUACCAACUGAGCUAUAGCUUAUUGGCAUUAGCAUGUAAAGCUAGGACUCGAAAAGGCUAUUGAGGUUGUCCUAGUGGUAGAGUACGCAUCAUGGGUGCUGUAUGGAUUCUAUUCAUGAAAUUGACCCCAAAAAUUAAUGUUAUGACUUCGACCAAAUUAUUGCAUUCUGUAUCUAGCUAAUGUGGGUGCUCUUUCUGUUAUCUUCAGUUGUCUUUUAUAAGAAGUUCCUUCAUAGUAAUAGAAUUUUCCUGUCAAGUUCUUGUAUCGUAAUAAAAAUUUCCUGCCAAACAGCUGUUUUCUCUCUGUGCCUUGCAUUGAGGUCUUCUGUGCUCCAUAUGUUAUUAGGCAUAUAAUUCAUGCAUUGGCCAAAUCAAUAUGGACCAAGCAGGUCCCCUAAUCAAGCCUGAAGUGCCAAUUCCUCAGGCAUUCUGGAUGGCUCUAGGUUUGACAUAUUUCCCAUUUAAUAUUGUUGACAAAUCUUGCCACUUAAAUGUUUGGAAACUUAGAGUAUAUGUAUGACCAUACAUAAAGUGCUAGCAAUAUGGUUGGAGCUGAAAUUAAAAUUUUUUCUGUUAAUAUAUGGCCCAACAUUGGCCUUGAAUAUAUCUUAGCUGCGUUUUGGGCCCCUAUAGCCGCGUUUCUACACAGCGCAUAGGUUGGUGAUAAAGGUACCACAUGUAAUUGUGGCGGCCAUUCUCCAAAAUAAAUAGCCAUUUAUCAUCUUUCGUGUAAUCUUGUUGUCCUUUAAUUUCCCCUAAAUUUUUAUCUCAUUAUGAUAGCGUUUCUCUUCUUUUUUUUGCCAAAGUUUUUAGGUGUAACUAUAGGAAUAUUUUUUAAAUUAUAAUGUAGGCUUUUAGAUUAGAUGAGCAAAUUAUAGCAUCAUGAUAGGAAUCUUUGAUGCCUUCACUUCUCUUGGUGUUAAAAUGAAAGUUUAGAGUGUAGUGUAGGGCUAAAUAGAGUUUAAUGGUAGAAGGGGGGGACCUGUGAAUGGUAGAGUUUAUUAUUAUUAUUUUCCCCUCCUUGUGCUGCAUGACAAUCCUUUUGCCUCUUUAAAAAGAGCCUUUGGUGUUUAAAAACACUUCUACAAUUAAAAUUCUAUUACCAACUGUUUCUAGAAUUUAAAAAAGUUUCAUUAUUUAUUUUAAAUUAUUUGAAUAAUACUAUAAUUUUUGUUUUAAAAAUAAAAGUUAGAAACCUUUAACCAAGUUGUUAGUCAAUUGUGGGAUGCGAGCUUGAUUAUUCAAGCCCUUCUUGCUAGUGAUCUCACUAAUGAAAUUGGACCUAUAUUGGCAAGAGGGCACAACUUCAUAAAAAUAUCUCAGGUAGGAUUUUCAGUUCUUAAAAAAUGUCAUUACCCAGUAUUGAUUCAAAUAUCUCAAAAUACACUGUUUCAUGUCAUGCAUUAUCUUUCAUCUUGAAUUGUGGAAUGUUGUUUAGUAGAGAUGGCACACAGGUUGACCACUGAUUCAAUGUUCAAAUUAAAAAGGCAGUUCUUGCUACUAGAAAGAUCUAGGACCAAACCAAGGAAGCUUGUGUUAAAUUAAGAAAUUUCCACAUUGAAAUCUGGUAUCUGGCAAUUUUUAAUCAAUGGUCAAUGAGCUUAGUUCAAAUGGCAUCCUCAUCCCCUAGCUAUUCACACACUUAUAGCCUUAUACAUGUUAUUUAUGGCUAAUUCCAAGACAAAUACUAGUUUGCCCCUAACAAUAUCUUACUUACAACACUCCUCAGGUUGGGACAUCGAUAUUAUAUAAUCAGAGCUAAUACUAUAUUACGUAAUUAUUUGUUUAUGUAAUUAAUCUUUUGGCAAUGAACUUGUUUUGUUUGCUGGUAAUUUGUUGGGAAUUGUCGAGUGUAGGCAAUUUGUUUUGUUGGUUCCAA